GAUGAACGCUGGCGGCGUGCCUGAUACAUGCAAGUCGAGCGAACAGAUAAGGAGCUUGCCCCUUUGACGUUAGCGGCGGACGGGUGAGUAACACGUGGGUAACCUACCUAUAAGACUGGAAUAACUCCGGGAAACCGGGGCUAAUGCCGGAUAACAUUUAGAACCGCAUGGUUCUAAAGUGAAAGAUGGUUUUGCUAUCACUUAUAGAUGGACCCGCGCCGUAUUAGCUAGUUGGUAAGGUAAUGGCUUACCAAGGCAACGAUACGUAGCCGACCUGAGAGGGUGAUCGGCCGCACUGGAACUGAGACACGGUCCAGACUCCUACGGGAGGCAGCAGUAGGGAAUCUUCCGCAAUGGGCGAAAGCCUGACGGAGCAACGCCGCGUGAGUGAUGAAGGGUUUCGGCUCGUAAAACUCUGUUAUUAGGGAAGAACAAACGUGUAAGUAACUGUGCACGUCUUGACGGUACCUAAUCAGAAAGCCACGGCUAACUACGUGCCAGCAGCCGCAGUAAGAC
rnacentral:rRNA from 1 species